AGUGAACGCUGGCGGUAGGCCUAACACAUGCAAGUCGAACGGCAGCACAGUAAGAGCUUGCUCUUACGGGUGGCGAGUGGCGGACGGGUGAGGAAUACAUCGGAAUCUACUUUUUCGUGGGGGAUAACGUAGGGAAACUUACGCUAAUACCGCAUACGACCUACGGGUGAAAGCAGGGGAUCUUCGGACCUUGCGCGAUUGAAUGAGCCGAUGUCGGAUUAGCUAGUUGGCGGGGUAAAGGCCCACCAAGGCGACGAUCCGUAGCUGGUCUGAGAGGAUGAUCAGCAACACUGGAACUGAGACACGGUCCAGACUCCUACGGGAGGCAGCAGUGGGGAAUAUUGGACAAUGGGCGCAAGCCUGAUCCAGCCAUACCGCGUGGGUGAAGAAGGCCUUCGGGUUGUAAAGCCCUUUUGUUGGGAAAGAAAAGCAGCAGGUUAAUACCCCGCUGUUCUGACGGUACCCAAAAAAUAAGCACCGGCUAACUUCGUG
rnacentral:rRNA from 1 species